rnacentral:rRNA from 1 species
GAUGAACGCUGGCGGCGUGCCUAAUACAUGCAAGUCGAACGAGAGGGCCAGGAGCUUGCUCUGCUGACGUUAGCGGCGGACGGGUGAGUAACACGUGGAUAACCUGCCCAUCAGAGGGGGAUAACAUCGGGAAACGGAUGCUAAUACCGGAUAGUAUUUCGAACCGCAUGGUUCGAUAGGGAAAGACGGCUUUGGCGUCUCUUAUAGAUGGAUCCGCGCUGCAUUAGCUAGUUGGUAAGGUAACGGCUUACCAAGGCAGUGAUGCGUAGCCGACCUGAGAGGGUGAUCGGCCACACUGGAACUGAGACACGGUCCAGACUCCUACGGGAGGCAGCAGUAGGGAAUCUUCCGCAAUGGGCGAAAGUCUGACGGAGCAACGCCGCGUGAGUGAUGAAGGUCUUCGGAUCGUAAAACUCUGUUAUUAGGGAAGAACAAGUGUUUGAGUAACUGUGCGCGUCUUGACGGUAUCUAAUCAGAAAGCCACGGCUAACUACGUG